AGCGAACGCUGGCGGCAGGCUUAACACAUGCAAGUCGAGCGGGCACCUUUCGGGGUGUCAGCGGCGGACGGGUGAGUAACGCGUGGGAACGUGCCCUCUGGUUCGGAAUAACUCAGGGAAACUUGAGCUAAUACCGGAUACGCCCUUUUGGGGAAAGGCUUGCUGCCGGAGGACCGGCCCGCGUCUGAUUAGCUAGUUGGUGAGGUAACGGCUCACCAAUGCGACGAUCAGUAGCUGGUCUGAGAGGAUGACCAGCCACACUGGGACUGGGACACGGCCCAGACUCCUACGGGAGGCAGCAGUGGGGAAUAUUGGACAAUGGGCGCAAGCCUGAUCCAGCCAUGCCGCGUGAGUGAUGAAGGCCUUAGGGUUGUAAAGCUCCUUUAUCCGGGACGAUAAUGACGGUACCGGAGGAAUAAGCCCCGGCUAACUUCGUG
rnacentral:rRNA from 1 species